GACGCGGUUAGCUAGGAUAAGAG
rnacentral:piRNA from 1 species